UACUAAAAUAUGUAAACCCCACAAUUAAUAAUUAUUAUACUUUGACAUAGAUAGAAUACCAGAAAGUUAUCCUCUUGUCCAGCUGCAUCACAUAAAAUAACAUCCACUUGGAGCAUAGCCGAUCAGCUUCUGGUGAAAGAAUGGCUGCUCCAUCUCCUUCCUAAAAGACAUAAUUUGCAGUGAAGUAUGUCCAAGAAUUUGCUAACAAUGGAAAAUUACCACUAGAAAUAUACUGCUAUAAAGACGGUGUCAACAGAGGCUUAAACAUUUUUGGCGUUCCAAUUGCAGAGAUUGCAGUAAUGGAUAUCGCUCUUCUUGCAUCUCGCUAAUCCUUCGUCAAUUUUUUAACCUAUCAAUUUCAAUCAUUUUACAUUGAAACUCCUCUCUUCGCAUUUCAUUUCCGCAAAAUAGAAUUUCCUCUCCUCUCGCCGCCUCUGCCGCCGCUGUCGACAGGGUUUUGUAGAUCGGUCUGCCCUCGCGUUGAAUUGCACAAAGCCAUGGCUGUGGAGGACUGUCACCGACAACAAAAAUGGUGCCGGUUGUGGUGGUCCGGUGAAUUGUAUUAACCGUCAUUGUUGUUUUGUUAAUCUUUAAAAAGAAAAGUAUUUUUGCAAUAAACUUUAGUCAAAUCGUAUAUUUUAACUAAAUUUAGUCAA